UACGUAGGGUGCGAGCGUUAAUCGGAAUUACUGGGCGUAAAGCGUGCGCAGGCGGUGAUGUAAGACAGUUGUGAAAUCCCCGGGCUCAACCUGGGAACUGCAUCUGUGACUGCAUUGCUGGAGUGCGGCAGAGGGGGGAUGGAAUUCCGCGUGUAGCAGUGAAAUGCGUAGAUAUGCGGAGGAACACCGAUGGCGAAGGCAAUCCCCUGGGCCUGCACUGACGCUCAUGCACGAAGACGUGGGGAGCAAACAGG
rnacentral:rRNA from 1 species